GCGAAGCGGCGGCUCUUUUAUUUCCCACUGCGUUUCCCCGACGCCGUUUUGGGGUUUUUUUGUCGUUUUUUGUCGUUUUGGUGGUUUUUUUUGGGGGGGGGGGGGGGGGGGGGGCGGUCACGGAAGGGCCGUUAUUAUUGGGGGGGGGGUCUGUAAUAAUAACGACCCCCCCACACCCCAAUAUCUGACCUAUGGGGGCGGUUGGAGGACCGACAAUAAUAACGCCCCUCCCCCAUUGUCUGAUAUAUGGGGGGGCAUUUAAAGGGCAGUGCGGAGUUAUUUUGGGGGGGGGGUAAUAAAAUGGGGGGUUUAAAGGGAUAUGGGG
ensembl:lncRNA